UGGGGAAUUUUGGACAAUGGGCGAAAGCCUGAUCCAGCAAUGCCGCGUGCAGGAAGAAGGCCUUCGGGUUGUAAACUGCUUUUGUACGGAACGAAAAGGCUCUUUCUAAUAAAGAGGGCCCAUGACGGUACCGUAAGAAUAAGCACCGGCUAACUACGUGCCAGCAGCCGCGGUAAUACGUAGGGUGCGAGCGUUAAUCGGAAUUACUGGGCGUAAAGCGUGCGCAGGCGGUUCUAUAAGACAGAUGUGAAAUCCCCGGGCUCAACCUGGGAAUGGCAUUUGUGACUGUAGAGCUAGAGUACGGUAGAGGGGGAUGGAAUUCCGCGUGUAGCAGUGAAAUGCGUAGAUAUGCGGAGGAACACCGAUGGCGAAGGCAAUCCCCUGGACCUGUACUGACGCUCAUGCACGAAAGCGUGGGGAGCAAACAGGAUUAGAUACCCGUGUAGUCCCUGAGCGGGCUGGCAAGGCGCAU
rnacentral:rRNA from 1 species